UUGCUGUCUGGGGAGCAUUGAUUGAUUGAUGAUUGAUGAAGUGUCGUCAAGUCGGUGUCGACUCCUAGCGACCACAUAGAUAGAUUCUCUCCAGGAUGAUCUGUCUUCAACUUGGCCUUUAAGAUCUCUCAGUGGGGCAUUAAUGGCUGUCGUAAUCGAGUCCAUCCACCUUGCUGCUGGUCGUCCCCUUUAUGUGCUGGAAACUUCUCCUUUAUGUGCUGGAUACCAUUCAUUAUUUUUAACCUGCUCCUAUUGAUCUAUUCAGAGCAAUGAUUAAUGAUGGUGCCAUAGGUCUAAACGUGCGUUCACAAAGAUGCAUUCAUAAGGAAGUGACAACUGAUAAUAAAUGUGUUAACGUUUCAGAUUUUGGAUGAAUAUAUAGUCCAAAUGCAUUGGAUGAAGACUCUCUGGUUAAAUCUUUCUGUUAUGGAGAGGUCAUUACUUCAGUCUUGUGAUCGACAAUGCCCCUUUUGUCCUUGUACUUCUGUGAUGCUUAGAACUGCUCCUAGAUCAUCCAAUGAUAAUUCAAUUAAAUGUAACAUGGAACAUACCACACAUCAUUAUGAUUUAGCAUCCUCAAUAUACUUGCAAAAUGUGUAUGUCAUCUACAUGUUCAGACUUCAUCACCAAAAUAUAGUGUUGCCCAAUACAGGA